rnacentral:rRNA from 1 species
UCGUGGAGUGAUUUGUCUGCUUGAUUGCGAUAACGAACGAGACCUUGACCUGCUAAAUAGCCAGGUUCACUUUUGUGGGCCGCCGGCUUCUUAGAGGGACUUUGGCUCAAGCCAAUGGAAGUACGAGGCAAUAACA